GACUGGAUAUUAGAGGUCUUUUCCAGCUUUAAUGAUUCUGUGAUUUUGUGGGAGCUCUACAGCUCUGAUGGUCCAGGCUGGGUGCCCUUGGUGACCUCUGAGGGGGCUGUGACACCCCUGCAAGACCCAGAAUCUUUCCAAUGAGGCAUUUUACUGGCAUCUCUUUACUGAAAGGAGAAAGAUAACUCUUGAUGGACUGAUCAGCCAUGCCAGAUGAGCUCAGGAGCAUGAUGACAGACCCAUUUAACUGCAGAACCACCAGUCAGCAAGAAUAUUCUUCAUAAUUAAAA
rnacentral:lncRNA from 1 species